AGUGAACGCUGGCGGUAGGCCUAACACAUGCAAGUCGAACGGCAGCACAGUAAGAGCUUGCUCUUACGGGUGGCGAGUGGCGGACGGGUGAGGAAUACAUCGGAAUCUACUUUUUCGUGGGGGAUAACGUAGGGAAACUUACGCUAAUACCGCAUACGACCUACGGGUGAAAGCAGGGGAUCUUCGGACCUUGCGCGAUUGAAUGAGCCGAUGUCGGAUUAGCUAGUUGGCGGGGUAAAGGCCCACCAAGGCGACGAUCCGUAGCUGGUCUGAGAGGAUGAUCAGCCACACUGGAACUGAGACACGGUCCAGACUCCUACGGGAGGCAGCAGUGGGGAAUAUUGGACAAUGGGCGCAAGCCUGAUCCAGCCAUACCGCGUGGGUGAAGAAGGCCUUCGGGUUGUAAAGCCCUUUUGUUGGGAAAGAAAAGCAGCAGGUUAAUACCCCGCUGUUCUGACGGACCCAAAGAAUAAGCACCGGCUAACUUCGUG
rnacentral:rRNA from 1 species